rnacentral:lncRNA from 1 species
AUUUUAUUAAAAUAUAAAAUAUUUCGACUUAUUUAUCUUAUCUUGGUUAGGAUAUGCAUUAAUAAAGUAUUAUUGAUUAGCUAGCAUCUAAUAUAAAAGAAAAAGAAGUGGCUGGACUAGUUUUUCUCAAAUUUGAUAUUUAUAUUAGUCUCAAUUUACUAGUAUAGUAGAUGAUAGAUCAUUUGUUAUUAGAUUGUGAUCCAUUUAGCAAGUAGUCCUAUAUAUCAGUUUUUGACUAGCGAAUAAAUCAAAUGGCCCUAGUGAAAACCAUUUGCCUAGAGAUACACAUUGAUGAUUAGACCCUAUAACGAUUUAUAAUCGCUAAUCAACCAUUUGAUCAGACAAAAAUAUCUUUUGUGUGUGACUCCAUAGGUUCUAUUCUGUCUGAUAGUAAGAUAUACUGUGAUUCCUAUCACAAUAUCAUCAAAAUUUUUUUUGAUUAGUUGAAACAAUUCCAACUCUGUUCUUCGAGGAUCAUCAAUCAUCAAGACGAUGCUCAACGAGUCUCACAAUCCACCAAUGACACCUAAUAGUAUGUAGUGACAAUCCAGUAGAAUAAAAGUAUUGAACCUCUACGUACAAUUACCAUAUGAUUUAGUCCUUCUAUUACGAGUCUCGAUUUGACAGAGGUCAUGAAAAACUCAUCAAACUCCAAUGUCAGUCAUAUGCCAAAUUGGUUCAACUCGAGUUCAUUUAUGAAUCUUGUGAAAUUUUCUUUCCAGUAUUCACACUUGCUUUGAUCGAAGACUUUCUGAACUCAGUAUCGUGAAUCACAUAGGACUUCUUCUUUUCUAUCAAUAUCGAUAGAUUCUAUCUGGAUGCAUCCUACUCCUAAUAGUGAAUCCGAACCCACUGUAGCCAACAUACACUAUAGAGACUUAAAUGGCUAAGAGUCUAAGUUUAGGUGUAGUCAAACUUAGUAGCCUCACUAUGAAUAGCCAAUACACCACAGAUCAAAGGACCACUCACACUAUUACACAUUGAGCAAAUCACUGAUGAGUGAGCAGACAUCCAAGUAAUUUUUUAUGUUGAUCACGCUUAAUACAAGUUAUUCUCUAACAACCACUUGCACUUUCAUCCUAGUAUUCCCACACUAUAAACUCGAAAAUCAUCUGUCUGGAAGAGAAAUGAUCUGUGCACCAAUCUAACUGGAUCGAAUACUAUUCUCCAUGAUGAUCCUUCGAUCGAGAGCCUUUAGAAAUUAAUCAUCAAUAGCGUAUGUCUCAAAUUCUCAAUACCUUGAGAAUAUACAAUAUCAUCUGUUAAUUUUUAGGAUAAAUUAUGGACGCAUAAAAAUAUAAUUAGAAAUAAAAAUAUCUUUUAUUCAUAAAAUUUUAUAAGUAUAAAUUUAUAUCUUGAAAUUACAUAAUGCAUCUGCCAAUAAUUGGUUUUUAUGGCAUACAUCAAAUAUAGGAAACCUUGAUAAUAUCAAUCAAAGCAUAAUCAUAUAAGAAGUAAUAAGAAGCAUACCUAUUAAAUUUUGAUUUGGUGAUGCUUAACUUCCAUGAGGCACCUAAGUAUUCACCCUCUAAUGGUGAUUCACAUAAAAAUUAGUCUAAGGACAGCACUCCUACACCUUGCUUUAAGAGUUCUAAUCCUUAGAACUUGACUAGCCUUGCACUGGUCAGGUUUCUCCAAGAAUCUGACUUUAUCCUCUCAAAACUCCUCUGAACUUCUUGAUUCUCUCCUUCAGGACCUCCCUUAUCCUUGUUUAGACCUGAUUAGGUUUUGUCUUAAAUACCAAAGCCUUAUCCUAAGACUAUAAAGGUUGUAAGAAAGAAGGGAGAAGCAAGGGAGACAAAACUGGAAAGAAAUCUGAAUGCUUCGAAUACCUAACGCCUAAGGCAAUUUAUAGGUGAGAUAGGGGUGCAUGAGGAAGAAUCACAUCUCUUCUUCACACCCCACUGAUAUUUGCAUGUCUGAGAGAGAGAGUCUUCAAACACAAGGACUCUUUGAAGCAAUACAAUCCUUCUCCCUUCAUCACGCGUGCGCACACACGAGGGGCAUUUCUAGCAUCCAUUCAACCUUCAGAUAAUUCUGACAAAAUUUUAGAUAAAUUUUUAUUUAAAAAUAGAUUAAAAAAGGUAUGUUAUCUGAUAGGUGACAUCUCUUCCAACUAGAAUUUAAAUGACAGAAGGACUCUUCGAUGCGAAGAGUCGUGUGAGUCCAUUCUCGAGUGCGUGCCUUCCCUUCUUUCCAAGUUUUUCUCCAUGCCAUAAAAAAUCCAAAAAAUAAUAUCUCAGCCUUUGAGAUAUGUGCCAGAGAAUGGAGGGUGAUGUGGGCUACUUCAUGCAUCUUAAUUUCAAGAUAGAAGGACUCUUUUCUUCUCCUCACUCCAAAACAUAUCCCCAACUCUUCUUUGCAUGCCAAGAGUCCAACCAAGCUAGGACUUUAACUAAUUUGCAUCCAAGAGGCCAUAUGGCUCCAUCCAAUAGCCGCCACACCCAGAUCCAAAUCUAAAUUAGCCCAUGGCUCAAUUUGAUUUGAUCAAGAAGCAAGAUUUGAAUAUAUUUCGAAUCCAAUUCAAGGAGCUAAGGUUUUCACACGUGCUAAUAUGCUUAUCAGGAACCCGAUUGGAUCCAAAACUCCAGCCAAUCUUAUCAAAAGAGUCUUUGAUCAAUUUUUUUAUGUGUAUGACCCAUUAAGUUUCACAUCUCACCAUGCUAAUCUGAGUUU